CAACUACUCCCUCUGUCCCAAAUUUCUUGUCUUAGAUUUGUCUAGAUACAGAUGUAUCUAAUACUAAAAUGUGACUUGAUACAUCCGUAUCUAGACAAAUCUAAGACAAGAAUUUUGGGACAGAGGGAGUACUUU
rfam:Triticum aestivum genome assembly, contig: Triticum_aestivum_CS42_TGACv1_scaffold_193583_3AL